rnacentral:rRNA from 1 species
GACGAACGCUGGCGGCGUGCCUAAUACAUGCAAGUAGGACGAAGUUGCGAACGGGUGAGUAACGCGUAGGUAACUGCCUCUUAGAGGGGGAUAACUAUUGGAAACGCUAGCAAAUACCGCAUACUAGUAGAUGGACCUCCGUUGUAUUAGCUAGUAGGUAGGGUAAUGGCCUACCUAGGCAACGAUACAUACCCGACCUGAGAGGGUGAUGUGCCACACUGGGACUGAGACGCGGCCCAGACGCCUACGGGAGGCAGCAGUAGGGAAGCUUCGGCAAUGGGGGGAACCCUGACCGAGCAACGCCGCGUGAGUGAAGAGGUUUUUCGGAGCGUAGAGCUCUGUUGUUAAGGAAGCGGUACUUAACCAGAAAGGGACGGCUAACUACGUGCCAGCAGCCGCGGUAAUUC